rnacentral:lncRNA from 1 species
GGCAGAGAAAAAUAUAGAAGACCUUCAUAUUUUCUUCAUAUUCCCAGCAAUGGAUUGUAUAGCGGCAUACUAAAGACCAGCUGGUACCUGCAAGAGUCCAGUCUCCAUCCUGCUGUGAUCAGUACUCUUCUCGAAGGUUCGGUGCUAAAGUAAUCUCAGCUGCUCAUCCGGCAGCCAGCAUUGUCAAACGACUCAAACCAACGAACCACCCAAGAGAGCACCAUGUCUUGAUAACAAAAGGGGAUCCUUUUAGUUGACUUUCACUGUUACUCAGCAUUUCUGCAGAACUUGUUGACUGAAUCUCUGAUAUGACUAUCAAUGAUAUUGCUUGAAAGUCCGACUGUUCUGCAAUUUAG